rnacentral:rRNA from 1 species
UGAGGAAUAUUGGUCAAUGGGCGAGAGCCUGAACCAGCCAAGUAGCGUGCAGGAAGACGGCCCUAUGGGUUGUAAACUGCUUUUAUAUGGGGAUAAAGUGAGCUACGUGUAGUUUAUUGCAGGUACCAUAUGAAUAAGGACCGGCUAAUUCCGUGCCAGCAGCCGCGGUAAUACGGAAGGUCCAGGCGUUAUCCGGAUUUAUUGGGUUUAAAGGGAGCGUAGGCGGAUUUUAAGUCAGUUGUGAAAGUUUGAGGCUCAACCUUGAAAUUGCAGUUGAAACUGGAAGUCUUGAGUGCACGCAGAGGUGCCGGAAUUCAUGGUGUAGCGGUGAAAUGCUUAGAUAUCAUGAAGAACUCCGAUCGCGAAGGCAAGUGCCUGGAGUGCUACUGACGCUGAGGC